GGCUCUGUGGUGUGAUGGCUAGCCUGUUAGACUUCUAUUCAAAAGUUGUGGGUUCAAGUCCCUCCCAGAACUG
rnacentral:tRNA from 1 species